rnacentral:rRNA from 1 species
GAAGCCUUCGGAUAAAAAGUCUUUCAGAGGGAGAAGGCGUUGAGUUAAUACCUCCGCAAUUGACGUUACCCGCAAAAGCAGCACCGGCUAACUCCGUGCCAGCAGCCGCAGUAAUACGGAGGGUGCAAGCGUUAAUCGGAAUUACUGGGCGUAAAGCGCACGCAGGCUGGUCUGUCAAGUCGGGAUGUGAAAUCCCCCGGGCUCAACCGUGGGAACUGCAUUCGAAAACUGGCAUGGCUAGAGUCUUGUAGAGGGGGGGUAGAAUUCCCAGGGUGUAGCGGGUGAAAUUGCGUAAGAGAUCUGGAAGGAAUACCCGGUGAGGGAAGGGCGGCCCCCCUGGGACAAAAGACCUGACGGCUCCAGGGUGCGAAAAGCGGUGGGGGAGCAAAACAUGGAUUUAGAUACCCCUUGGUCAGUCCCACGGCACGUAAAACGAAUGUCCGACUUUGGAGAGUGUGUGUCCCUUCGAGGGCGAUGGCCUUCCCGGAAGCUAACCGUCGAUUACAGUCCGACCCGCGCUGGAGGAGUACCCGGCCAGCAAGGUAUAAAUUACAUCAGAAUGUAAUUGAGCGGGGCGGCCCGCCACACAGCGGUUGGGAGCCAUGGUGGUAUUAAUUACGAUAGCAACGACGAACGCAACCCUCUACCGUACCUCUUCGACACUCUCAGGAGAACUCUAGCAGGAAGAUGGCUUGUGGUCCCCUUUCGGGGAACUUCGUGAGACCCAGGUGCGUGCCCAUGGCUUUGUUCGUUCAGCCUUCGUGUUGUUGGAAAGUGUUGGGUUUAAAAGUUCCCGCACACGAAGCCGGCAACCCCUUAUCCCCUUUGUUGCCCCAGCCGGUUCCGGCCCGGGCAACUUCAAAAGGGAGGACUGCCCCAGUGAUUAAAAACCUGGAGGAAAGGUGGGGGGAUUGACGUCCAAAAGUCAUCCAAUGGCCCCUUAUCGACGUAGGGGCUACCCACCACGUGCCUUACCAAUGGACGGCAUACAAAAGGAGAAGCAGAGCCUCGCCGGAGGAUGCAAGCCGAGAUCCCUCAUAAAACCUGCUGUCGUAGUUCCGGGGAUUUGGAGGUCUUGCAACUUCGCACUCCCAGUGAACGUCGGGAAUCCGCUUAGGUAUAUGCGUAGGACUCAGGAAUGCCCUACCGGGUGAAUACCGGUUCCCCGGGGCCCUUUGUACCACCACCCGCCCCGCUCCACACCCAGUGGGAGGUGGGUUGCAACAAGAAG